rnacentral:rRNA from 1 species
AAAAACAUGUCUUGAAGUUUAUUUUAUUUUAAGUCGGGCCUGCUCAAUGACUAUUCUUGUAUAGGGGUUAAAUAGCCGCAGUAUUUUGACUGUGCGAAGGUAGCAUAAUCAUUUGUCUUUUAAUUGUAGGCUUGUAUGAAUGGUUUGACAAAGUGUGACCUUUUUUUAUAUUAUUAAUUAUGAAUUUAAUUUUUAGGUUAAAAAGCUUAAAUUUAAUUAAAGGACGAGAAGACCCUAUAGAAUUUUAUUUAAUACAUUAUAUUUUAAUUUUUGGGUUAAAUUUCUUUUUAUUUUAUUAUUGUGUUAAAUUUUGUUGGGGCGACAGAGAAAUUUUUUUAACUUUCUUUUAUUAUUUAUUAUUGAUUAGUAUAUUUUUGAUCCUUAUUUAGGAUUAUAAGAUUAAAUUACCUUAGGGAUAACAGCGUAAUUUCUUUUGAGAGCUCAAAUCGAUGAAGGAGUUUGCGACCUCGAUGUUGGAUUAAAAUUAGUUCAGGGUGUAGUAGUUCUGAA